rnacentral:lncRNA from 1 species
CUUUAAUUCAACAGAUUUCCAUGUCAGUCAACAUUUCAGAUUCUCUGGUCAAAAAUGGAAACUUUGGCCCUUAAGAUCACUCACUGUGAACUUGAACUGAGGUACUUCUAGGCACAAUGAAGUCUGAUUAUCACUGAGCCAGAGCACAAGGAGGGAGAAAACAAACUACAUGUGGGGAUGUCUCAUCAUUAUCCAAGCCUUCCAACUUUGAGGUCCUAGUGGUGUGUUUUGGAGUGUUGGGGUUCAGAGCCAAUGGCGAAGAAAGAUUUCUUGAGACAUCUUCAGUGCAAAAAGAUGGUUUUAUUAAAG